rnacentral:lncRNA from 1 species
AUGUUUAUUUUGAAGUCUUUAUUAUUUUUCUUUUUUCUUUUUUUUUUUUUUUUUUUUUUUAAGAAAGAAAGGCAAAGCAGCCUGAAACCACAGGUUUCUUUCUUUCUUUCUUUCUUUCUUUCUUUCUUUCUUUCUUUCUGUCUUUCUUUCUUUCUUUCUUUCUUUCUUUCUUUCUUUCUUUCUUUCUUUCUUUCUGUCUUUUUUCACAGACUGCUUUUAAUCCCCUCCACCACUCACAGAAGUCCUCUCCGAGCCCUGGAAAUGAGAAACUCUGGUAGAGCGAAUGGUGAUAGCUCAUGGUUGGGCCCUUUUGGGAUCCAAGGGCGCUGUAGGCAACUAGAACGGUAUCCUUGGACUUGCAGAAAACUUCAGGAGCUUGCUCUGGUUGAGAAUAAACUGGAUAUUUACCUCAGGAAUGCUAACUCAUUUCUGUGAGUUUAAUUACCACCCAUAAAGCAAUGACUCCGAAAUCUGCACCUCCAGCCCUGACCGGCUUCCCGAGCUCCAGACCAGCACUGCUGUCUUCCAACAUCAGCUUCCACUUAACAUCUUUGAGAAGGGACAUCAGGCAUCUGAGAAGUGGAAAUAAUACCCUUCCUACUCCCCUCAACUUGUUCCUCAUUUGGCCUUUUCCUCUUUUCAUAAAAGGAACAAUCUCCUAUGCAGUAGCCUCGAGCCAGUAACUUGGGUCCUGCACAUUUAGGAAGAAGGUGUGAAGGGCAGGAAGCAAGGUGGUCUCUGGUGGGCUGUGGGCUCACCUGGUUGCAGACAGGCUUGGACUUGAGCCCUGGCUUCUUCAUGAUCAUUUCCAGCUGCUUGUGGUUGAAAUUGGAUACCCCAAUGGAUCUGGUUAAACCUGCAUCUUUACACUUCUCCAGGGCUUGAGGGGGAGGGAAACAUGUGGCAAACUUUUAGUGUACUUGGGCCCUUGCAUUUGACACUGAACUUAAAAAAUCAGGAAAUCUCUUCUAAUAUAUAUAAUGAUUUGACUGAACUAGUUUUAUCACUUACAUAUGCUAUGUCCUAAGAUAUGUUAUUGCUCUGCACAUGUUUUAUUUCGUUGAGCCCAUUACAUGCACAAAUGGGACAACAAACAGAUGUUAAAAAGCUUUUAAGUUUCCCCUCAUCACCCCACUCUCUUUCAUGGCACUGUUUUUGCUAUUAGGCCUGUAAUUGUUCUUUAACAAAUGGUGUCAGAGUCAAAGGUAAAGAGAAACUCAGGUUUUCCUCCAAGGAAAGGUCUUUCUGCUUCCUCUUUCCUUCAGUGUUGAAAAAAGCAUAUGGAAUGGGAUACACAUUGCAGGCUUGGCUCCUACAGCGCCCCCCUUCUGCUAAGUCAGACAGCUGCCCAUCCCUCCCUCUGUGGGGAUACAGCUCUACCCCCUUUUGAACUUACUGCUGACAAUCCCCCUUAUGAGGUUCGCAGGCCUAACCUGACCCAUGGAGCAAAGAAACCCCCACUUAGAACCACGGAAGUUAGGUUAAAAAUAGACCUUGAGUCCAUCCUGCUCAACUCCCUUGCUUUACAACUGAGAACAGUGAGGUAUAUCAAGGUUUAACGACUUGAGGGCAGACAACUAGAGGAUUCGAACCCAUGUCUCUUGACUCCCUACCCAGUGGCUUCUACCUCCCCGCACCCCUCUUGGGUCCAGUAGCCGUACUUCCUGCCCAGGUGUCAUGCAGUCUACUGUCUCUAAAAUAACCUCCCCGUUGGCACUGUUGGGCAUAAUCUCCUCUUCAGGCUGGAAUACAGAGGGAAAACAGGAGGAAAAAGAAGUUGUUUGUUUCUUCGUUUUUAAGAAUGACCUUUCUGAAAAAAAAAAAAAAAAAAAAGAAUGACCUUUCUGGUGCCUAAGGAGCUUGGUCACAUGACCUCUAAGCGGCUGUGAUUACUAAUCAGAGUGUGUGUGUGAAUGUGUGUACGCAAGUGUGUGUGUAUGCUGUGGAGAAGAAAUGUAGGAAAAGGAGAACAACAGUCAUCUGAGAGACUGUAGCAAAGAAUCUCUCCGCCUUUCUAUCCACACACAUCCCUGAACUCUCCUAAGAAUCCACUUUCCUACUGUUAGAAUUGAUUUCACAGAGUUUGGAUGAUAGGAACCCCUUACACUAUUAGGCAAUGUGUUUCAGCUCCAGUUUACAAUAACCCAAGUCAGAGAUGGUGAGGUUACCAGACAUGGUCAGUAACUGCCCACUCUGAUGAGAGGUUGGAUCAGUGAAGCCCAAAGAAGCCCAGUGGUGCAGUAUGGACCAUCCCAAGGUACCUCAUCAUGAUUGGGCUGAGAGGUGCAAAUGGGAGAGACUUUCUCCCUAAAGAUGGGGGUUUCCCACCACCUCUCUGCAGUCAGUUAUAACUUAACAUUCUAGAUAGUCCAAGACGGUAGAGGAGUAGGAGACCUUAGUUUCGUCUGGUCCCAGGAAUUCAGCUAUAUAGCCAUCAAAUCAUUCUGAACACCUGUGAACUCAACUGGACAUCUAAGAAAAGAAAGACUGUGAAUCUACAAAUAGAAAAGCAACCACUUUCUGCAAGAAUGACAAGAUGGAAAAACGUAUCUCAAAAAAGAGAACAAGAGGCAGUACUGAUUGCCAGGGACCUAAUUGGUAUGGAUAUAAGUAAGAUGUCAGAACUAGAGUUCAGAAUAACAAUUAUAAAGAUACUAGCUGGGGAGCACCUGGGUGGCUCAGUUGGUUAAGCAUCUGCCUUCAGUUCAGGUCAUGACCCCAGGGUCAUGGGAUCAAGCCCCACAUCCAGCUCUCUGCUCAGUGGGGACCCUGCUUCUCCUUCUCUCUCUGCCUAACACUCACCCUGCUGUGCUCUCACUCUCUCUUUCAAUCUUUCAAGUAAAUAAAUAAAAUCUUUUUUAAAAAAGAUACCAGCAGGACUUGAAAAAAGCAUAGAAGACCCUAGAGAAUCCCUUUCUGGAGAAACAAAAGACUAAAAUCUAAUCAAGUCAAAAUCCAAAAGGCUAUUUCUCAGAUGCAACAAAAAAAUUGAGCCUCUAACUAUUAGGAUAAAUGAGGCAGAAGAGAGAAUUAGUGAUAUAGAAGACAAAAUGGUGGAAAACCAAGAGACUGAGAAAAAGAGAGAUAAAAACUACUGGAUCAUGAGGGAAGAAUCUGAGAGAUAAACGAUACUAUAAAGUGAAUCAAUAUUAGAAUAAUUGGGAUCUCAGAAGAAGAGGAAAGAGACAGAGGGACAGAAGGUAUAUUGGAGCAAAUUCUAGUAGAGAACAUCCCUAAUCUGGGGAAAGAAGCAGUCAUUCAAGUCCAGGAGGCACAGGGAACCUCCACCCUCCCAAAUCAAUAAAAAUAGGUCAACAUCUUGACAUAUAAUAUUGAAACUUGUAACUUUUUUCACAGAACUGGAAUAAAUAAUCCUAAAAUUCAAAAAGUUGAAAACAGAGCUAUCUAUGACCCAGCAAUUGCACUACUAAGGAUUUACCCCAAAGAUACAAAUGUAGUUGUCCAGAGGGCACCUGCACCCUAAUGUUUAUAGAGGAAAUGUCCACAAUAGCCAAACUAUGGAAAGAGCCCAGAUGUAUAUCUAUUGACAGAUGAAUGGAUGAAGAAAAUGUGGUUUAUGUAUAUACAUAUAAUGGAAUACUACUCAGCCAUCAAAAAGAAUGAAAUCUUGCCAUUUGCAACAAUGUGGAUGGAACUAGAAAGUAUUAUACUAAGCAAAA